ensembl:lncRNA
AAGGAAGGAAGGAAGGAAGGAAGGAAAAGCAAGUUCUCACGCCCCCUGCCCCGACCUCCUGACAGGCCCCUCUGGGGCUUCUCGUGCGCCUCAGGUUUGAGAACCACUGGUCUAGAUGACGGGCUUUCUCUCGCAUGAGCCCAGAGUUCUGAAAACCACGUCUCUGUCUCUGCUCUCAGUUCACCCACUUGCCUAAGACCAUUCUAGGUGCAGAGAAGAAACACCCACUGACUGUCUCCAAAGGCUGGAACACCAGGGAGGAGAGGAGAGGGGAGGGGAGGGUUGCUCAUAGAAACGGAGAUGCGGCUUGUGGUCCCAGAGGUGGAGAGCGGGGAGGGAGUUGGCUGGAGGUGGUCAGAAGAUACCAACUUCUCGGGCGUUCCCUCCGUGGCUCAGCGGUGAACGAACCCAGCUAGGAUCCACGAGGAUGCGAGUUCGAUCCCUGGCCUUGCUCAGUGGGUGAAGGGUCCAGCGUGGCCGUGAGCUGUGGUGUAGGUUGCAAAUACAGCUCGGCUCCUGCGUUGCUGUGGCUGUGGCGCAGGCUGGCAGCUGUAGGUUCGAUUAAACCACUAGCCUGGGAACCUCCAUGUGCUGCAGGUGCAGCCCUAAAAUAGCAAAAAAAAAAAAAAAGAAAGAGAAACCAACUUCCAAUUAUAAGAUAAGUAAGUACUAGGGCUGUCACAUGUAACACGGUGAGUAGAAUUAUCACUGCCGUGCGUUGUGGAUGUGAGAGUUGAGAGUAAAUCCUGCGUUCUCAUCGCAAGGAAAAUGUCUUUUUUUCUUGGCGUUCCCUGGUGCCCUAGCAGCUAAGGAUUUGGUGGUGUCACUGCUGGGGUGCAUAUUCGAUCCCCACCCUUGGAACUUCUGCAGGUUGCGGGCAGGGCAAAAUCCUUCUUUUUCUUUUAUUUUGUAUCUCGGUGAAAUGGAGGGUGUUCCCCGAACUUCCUGCGAUGAUCCCGGCGGGACGUAGCUUGUUUUUUGUUCUUGGAAGUCUCGCAGCGCCUCACCCAGCACGGAGUCUGGUGCACAGCAGAUCCUGUUUGUGGGGUGCAAAUGUGGGGCUCCCACUCCUGUUCCUCCGACUGUUUAAGGCAGCGGCCGUGGUGGUGGAUACCCGUCAUGGAGCCUGGCACACAGUAAGUGCUCAGUUAAUGUCGGUUGAACCGAACUACCUGAUCUGCAUCCCACAUGUAGCUCUGAAGCAGCAAGAAGAAUUUCACCGGGUCACACUGCAGCCACGUGUGCCUGCACGUAGUCCUGUGCCCGGAGGCAUCGCCCGCCUUCUGUUCCAGGUGGGACGGUGCCAUCGCAAAGGAAGCCUUGCUGUCGGCUCGGAGGGGGGUGGUCCACACGCCAGCCGCCGGUGUCCCUGAGAUUUGGUGGCCACCGUUGCCCGUGGGGUACAGGGCAGAGUCCCUUACCCUGUGGCCCUAGGCCAUGACGGGUUGUUUUUCCAAGAGCUCAGUGGCCCAGUUUUCCUCUGAGAGCCUGGAGGUGGGAGGGAGGGAGGCCACCGGGAAGGCAGAAGAGAAGGGGGAAAGAUGGAAGAAGCUUUAGGACUUGGCGGCUGUGUUUGGAGGGUGUGGGGGGAGGAGGCGGCAGCGUGCCCCGCCCCAGGUUUCAUGCCUGCGGGGCUGGAUGAAAGCAGGCACCUUCUGCUGGGAGGUCCCGUGGGUCGAAGUAACUGGAGACGCCUGUCUCAGCUUGGGUCUCCUCAAAGCAGAGCUGGCAACGCCGUCGUGGUGCAGGUGGUUUAUUUAGGCGGCGGUGCCGGGCGGGGAGUAGGGCACAGAGGUGAGGAGGGCAGGCCAGGGAGCACGGCUGGGCUGCUCGCGGAGCCGGUUGCCUGGCGCCCACCCCGAAGGGGAGCCCUCGGAAACCUCGGGAAAUGAGCAAGCCCCACUUCUUCUCACCCCGAGGGAGCAAGACCCCAGGUCAGUUAAACAUCAGCUCCUGUGACCACGGCUGGGUGGCCUCCUGGUCACCGGGACCCCUUUCCUGCCAUUUUCUACCCGUUUCUACCCGGCCACUUCGCAGUUCCCAAGCUGCGCACACGAGCUUCUGUCGACGUAACAAAAAUGCACAACGUGAGAGUUUUAAGUUUUAUUUGGGGGAAAAUGAGGACUACGGCCCUGAAGGCAGCCCUGCAGAGAGCUCUGGAAACACUCGGAAGAAGUCGGGGUCGGGGGGGCAUACGUGUGAUUUUACUGAAACGGGAGGGUCGCGCAUCCGGGCACACGUUCUGCUGAAGGUGCCGCUCCUCCCGUGAAGUUUACUGCCGGUCACAAGAGGCAGAAGCGCCAGGAAGGAUUUCAGUGCUUUUGGAGAUGCGAGGAGGUGCGAGAAUUGGGCCCAUAAAACCUCCCGAAACCU